UACGGGGGGGGCAAGCGUUGUUCGGAAUUACUGGGCGUAAAGGGCUCGUAGGUGGCCAACUAAGUCAGACGUGAAAUCCCUCAGCUUAACUGGGGAACUGCGUCUGAUACUGGAUGGCUUGAGAUUGGGAGAGGGAUGCGGAAUUCCAGGUGUAGCGGUGAAAUGCGUAGAUAUCUGGAGGAACACCGGUGGCGAAGGCGGCAUCCUGGACCAACACUGACACUGAGGAACGAAAGCCAGGGGAGCAAACGGG
rnacentral:rRNA from 1 species